rnacentral:tRNA from 1 species
GCUUCUAUAGCUCAGUUGGCUAGAGCACCCGUUCAGUAAGCGGUAGGUUCUGAGUUCAUCUCUCAGUGGAAGCA